AAACUACUCCCUCCGUUCUAAAUUACUUGUCGCAGGUAUGGAUGUAUCUAGAUGUAUUUUAGUUCUAGAUACAUCCAUUUCUACGACGAGUAAUUUGGAACGGAGGGAGUAGGAA
rnacentral:pre_miRNA from 1 species